GGUUGUGACCAUACCAGCACUAGUGCACUGGAUCCCAUCAGAACUCCGUAGUUAAGCAUGUUUGGGUGAAAGUAGUACUAGGAUGGGUGAUCUCCUGGGAAGUCCUCAUAUUGCACCCU